AGCAGCCGCGGUAAUUCCAGCUCCAAUAGCGUAUAUUAAAGUUGCUGCAGUUAAAAGCUCGUAGUUGAAUUUCGGGAUCAAUAUGUUGGUCGUGCCUCGGUACGUACUAGCUUAUUGGUUUCUCCCUUCUGACGAACCAUGAUGUCAUUUAUUUGGUGUUAUGAGGAAUCAGGACUGUUACUUUGAAAAAUUGAGUGUUUAAAGCAGGCUCACGCUUGAAUACAUUAGCAUGGAAUAAUGAAAUAGGACGUUUGAUUCUAUUUUGUUGGUUUCUAGGAUCGACGUAAUGAUUAAUAGGGAUAGUUGGGGGCAUUAGUAUUCAAUUGUCAGAGGUGAAAUUCUUGGAUUUAUUGAAGACUAACUACUGCGAGAGCAUUUGCCAAGGAUGUUUUCAUUAAUCAAGAACGAAAGUUAGGGAUCGAAGACGAUCAGAUACC
rnacentral:misc_RNA from 1 species